GGAAGGGGUGUAUUUAUUAGUAAAACCAUGGGGGGCCACGCUUUUUCUGGUAUUCAUAAUACUUUCGAAUUGCAUGGCCUUGUGCUGGCGAUGUUUCAUUCAAUUUUCUGCCCUAUCAACUUUGAAUGGUAGGAUAGAGGCCUACCAGGUUUUAACGGGUAAACGGGAAAUUAGGGUUCGAUUCCGGAGAGGGAGCCUGAGAAACGGCUACCCACAUCAAGGAAGGCAGCAGGCGCGCAAAUUACCCCAAUCCCGAUACGGGGAGGUAGUGACAAUAAAUAACAAUACAGGGCUUUAUAGUCUUGUAAUUGGAAUGAGUACAAUUUAAAUCUCUUAACGAGGAACAAUCGGAGGGCAAGUCUGGUGCCAGCAGCCGCGGUAAUUCCAGCUCCAAUAGCGUAUAUUAAAGUUGUUGCAGUUAAAAAGCUCGUAGUUGAAUUUUAGGCCUGGUUGGACGGUCUGCUCUAGGGUUUGUACUGUCCUGACUGGGUCUUACCUUCUGGUGAGCUGUCGUAUUGUUUACUCAGUGCGGCAGGGAACCAGGACUUUUAC
rnacentral:rRNA from 1 species